GGGUUGUGAGGUUAAGCGACUAAGCGUACACGGUGGAUGCCCUGGCAGUCAGAGGCGAUGAAGGGCGUGCUAAUCUGCGAUAAGCGCCGGUAAGGUGAUAUGAACCGUUAUAACCGGCGAUACCCGAAUGGGGAAACCCAGUGUGAUUCGUCACACUAUCAUUAACUGAAUCCAUAGGUUAAUGAGGCGAACCGGGGGAACUGAAACAUCUAAGUACCCCGAGGAAAAGAAAUCAACCGAGAUUCCCCCAGUAGCGGCGAGCGAACGGGGAGGAGCCCAGAGCCUGAAUCAGCAUGUGUGUUAGUGGAAGCGUCUGGAAAGGCGCGCGAUACAGGGUGACAGCCCCGUACACAAAAGCGCAUGUGCUGUGAGCUCGAUGAGUAGGGCGGGACACGUGGUAUCCUGUCUGAAUAUGGGGGGACCAUCCUCCAAGGCUAAAUACUCCUGACUGACCGAUAGUGAACCAGUACCGUGAGGGAAAGGCGAAAAGAACCCCGGCGAGGGGAGUGAAAAAGAACCUGAAACCGUGUACGUACAAGCAGUGGGAGCACAGGUUUACCUGUGUGACUGCGUACCUUUUGUAUAAUGGGUCAGCGACUUAUAUUCUGUAGCAAGGUUAACCGAAUAGGGGAGCCGGAGGGAAACCGAGUCUUAAUUGGGCGUUAAGUUGCAGGGUAUAGACCCGAAACCCGGUGAUCUAGCCAUGGGCAGGUUGAAGGUUGGGUAACACUAACUGGAGGACCGAACCGACUAAUGUUGAAAAAUUAGCGGAUGACCUGUGGCUGGGGGUGAAAGGCCAAUCAAACCGGGAGAUAGCUGGUUCUCCCCGAAAGCUAUUUAGGUAGCGCCUCGUGAACUCAUCUCCGGGGGUAGAGCACUGUUUCGGCUAGGGGGCCAUCCCGGCUUACCAACCCGAUGCAAACUGCGAAUACCGGAGAAUGUUAUUACGGGAGACACACGGCGGGUGCUAACGUCCGUCGUGAAGAGGGAAACAACCCAGACCGCCAGCUAAGGUCCCAAAGUCAUGGUUAAGUGGGAAACGAUGUGGGAAGGCCCAGACAGCCAGGAUGUUGGCUUAGAAGCAGCCAUCAUUUAAAGAAAGCGUAAUAGCUCACUGGUCGAGUCGGCCUGCGCGGAAGAUGUAACGGGGCUAAACCAUGCACCGAAGCUGCGGCAGCGACGCUUAUGCGUUGUUGGGUAGGGGAGCGUUCUGUAAGCCUGUGAAGGUGGCCUGUGAGGGUUGCUGGAGGUAUCAGAAGUGCGAAUGCUGACAUAAGUAACGAUAAAGCGGGUGAAAAGCCCGCUCGCCGGAAGACCAAGGGUUCCUGUCCAACGUUAAUCGGGGCAGGGUGAGUCGACCCCUAAGGCGAGGCCGAAAGGCGUAGUCGAUGGGAAACGGGUUAAUAUUCCCGUACUUGGUGUUACUGCGAAGGGGGGACGGAGAAGGCUAUGUUGGCCGGGCGACGGUUGUCCCGGUUUAAGCGUGUAGGUGUGUGUUCCAGGUAAAUCCGGUUCACUUUAACACUGAGGCGUGACGACGAGGCACUACGGUGCUGAAGCAACAAAUGCCCUGCUUCCAGGAAAAGCCUCUAAGCAUCAGGUAACAUCAAAUCGUACCCCAAACCGACACAGGUGGUCAGGUAGAGAAUACCAAGGCGCUUGAGAGAACUCGGGUGAAGGAACUAGGCAAAAUGGUGCCGUAACUUCGGGAGAAGGCACGCUGACACGUAGGUGAAGUGAUUUACUCACGGAGCUGAAGUCAGUCGAAGAUACCAGCUGGCUGCAACUGUUUAUUAAAAACACAGCACUGUGCAAACACGAAAGUGGACGUAUACGGUGUGACGCCUGCCCGGUGCCGGAAGGUUAAUUGAUGGGGUCAGCGCAAGCGAAGCUCCUGAUCGAAGCCCCGGUAAACGGCGGCCGUAACUAUAACGGUCCUAAGGUAGCGAAAUUCCUUGUCGGGUAAGUUCCGACCUGCACGAAUGGCGUAAUGAUGGCCAGGCUGUCUCCACCCGAGACUCAGUGAAAUUGAACUCGCUGUGAAGAUGCAGUGUACCCGCGGCAAGACGGAAAGACCCCGUGAACCUUUACUAUAGCUUGACACUGAACAUUGAGCCUUGAUGUGUAGGAUAGGUGGGAGGCUUUGAAGUGUGGACGCCAGUCUGCAUGGAGCCGACCUUGAAAUACCACCCUUUAAUGUUUGAUGUUCUAACGUGGACCCGUAAUCCGGGUUGCGGACAGUGUCUGGUGGGUAGUUUGACUGGGGCGGUCUCCUCCUAAAGAGUAACGGAGGAGCACGAAGGUUGGCUAAUCCUGGUCGGACAUCAGGAGGUUAGUGCAAUGGCAUAAGCCAGCUUGACUGCGAGCGUGACGGCGCGAGCAGGUGCGAAAGCAGGUCAUAGUGAUCCGGUGGUUCUGAAUGGAAGGGCCAUCGCUCAACGGAUAAAAGGUACUCCGGGGAUAACAGGCUGAUACCGCCCAAGAGUUCAUAUCGACGGCGGUGUUUGGCACCUCGAUGUCGGCUCAUCACAUCCUGGGGCUGAAGUAGGUCCCAAGGGUAUGGCUGUUCGCCAUUUAAAGUGGUACGCGAGCUGGGUUUAGAACGUCGUGAGACAGUUCGGUCCCUAUCUGCCGUGGGCGCUGGAGAACUGAGGGGGGCUGCUCCUAGUACGAGAGGACCGGAGUGGACGCAUCACUGGUGUUCGGGUUGUCAUGCCAAUGGCACUGCCCGGUAGCUAAAUGCGGAAGAGAUAAGUGCUGAAAGCAUCUAAGCACGAAACUUGCCCCGAGAUGAGUUCUCCCUGAGACUUAGAGUCUCCUGAAGGAACGUUGAAGACGACGACGUUGAUAGGCCGGGUGUGUAAGCGCAGCGAUGCGUUGAGCUAACCGGUACUAAUGAACCGUGAGGCUUAACCUUACAACGCCGAAG
rnacentral:rRNA from 1 species